rnacentral:tRNA from 1 species
AUUUUAUUAGUAUAAUAUAGUACCGCUAAUUUCCAAUUAGAAAGUUUUCAAUAAAUAAAAUA